CACCUACUUCCUCCCUUUCGAAUUACUUGUCUUCGAUUUAUUUAAAUAUGGAUGUAUCUAGACUUAUUUUAGUGCUAUAUACCUCCGUAUCUAGACAAAUCUAAGACAAGUAAUUUGGAACGGAAGGAGUAGCUA
rfam:Triticum aestivum genome assembly, contig: Triticum_aestivum_CS42_TGACv1_scaffold_097210_2AL